GGUCCAGUGGUGUAGUGGUUAACAUGCCGCUCUGUCACAGCGGAGAUCGCGGGUUCGAAUCCCGUCUGGACCGCCA
rnacentral:tRNA from 1 species